rnacentral:lncRNA from 1 species
AUGGAGUGGAGGGAUCGGGAAGGAGAGGAGGAAGGAAUGGAAGAUGGAGGGAAGGAGGGACAUGGAGGGGGGACCCCGGAGGGACUGGAGGAAACUGAGGGGAAGGGACCUGAGGGCUGGACCGGACCCCUUCGGAAAGGACAGGCUGUGGGAGGAGCUGCAGGACUGAGGCACAGAGGCCCAGGGCCCACGGAGGGGCCCAGCCUUGACUUGGCUCCCUGGGAUCCCAGGACUGCACGCCCUUUCCGCACCACCUGAGUGAGCACCGCCCCCUCACAGAGACCUUUUUGCCCCUGGGCCAGGCAGGGCAGGC